UUUUAUAGGUUCAUCAAAAUAAGAUAUGAUCAAGGUACAAAAGAGUUAAAGAAGCUAUUUAUUUUAAUGUUUCCUUGGAGAGCACACUUGUUAUUUGCUUGUUUUAACUUUCAUGCUUUUUUUUUUUUUUUUUUGAGAGAGAGAGAGAGACAGUUUCACUAUGUUGCCCAGGUUGGAGUGCAGUGGUGCAAUCAUAGCUCACUGCAACCCGGGACGCCUAGCCUCAAGUCAUCCUCCCACUUCAGCUACCCAGCUAGUACCCACCACCGCACCCAGCUCUUUUUUAAAAAAUUUUUUAUAGAGAUGGGGUCUUGCUAUGAGUUGCCCAGGCUGGACUCAAACUCCUGACCUCAGAAGAUCUUCCUGCCUCAGCUUUCCAAGUUGCAUCUGGCUAUUUACAGGCUUUCAAAAAGUGUUUGUUGUAUCUCUACCUUGUCCCAUCAUUGUGUUAGAUACACUCACAUUACAAAUGUUGUCAAAAAUGCUCACAUCAUAAAGAGGAGAAUUAAUAUGUGAAAUCUGAAGGCAGAGAACAAGAAUAAGAGAUUCACCAAGUAAAACAAAAAACAUGGGUUUGAAAUAAUGGAAUAUGUAUUAUUAAAACAAAAACAUUAACCUAAAGGCUAGUUCAUGGUUUUUAUUUAAUUUUGAUUUUUAUAUAUUUGCCACAUGAGCUUUUCCCCAAAUAGGUUACUGAGAUACAUAGCCACAGGAUGCACCUGCCUAAAUGCCCUGCAAAACACAGUCAUUUAAUAUUAUUCUGUGGUUCUUGCGGCAUUCAUCAUACUGAGCCUUAUGAUGCAACUGGAAGAGUUAGGACCCAAGACUCUACCUUUCCAUUUUACCUAUUGUGUUGUUUCCCAUCACUGCUGUAACAAAUCACCACACACAGUGACGUAAAGCAAUGCAUAUUGUUAGCUUACAAUUCUGGAAGUCAGAAGUCAGCAAUGAGUUUCACUAGGUAUGAAGAAUUCCAGGUGAUGGUCUGCAAACCUGAGUUCCUUCUAGAGGCUCUUAGGGGAAAAAUCUAUUUCCUUACCUUUUCCAACUUCUAGGGGCUGCUUGUGUUCCUUGCCUCCUGGCCAUUCUCUCCAAAGACAGCAGCAUCUUCAAAUCUGUCUUUGAUUCCGCUUCCAUUAUCGCAUCUUCUCUAGCUCUUCUAGGGAAACUUUUGAUCACAUUGGGCCCAACAGACAAUCCAGAAUCAUUCGUCUCAAUGGCCUUAACUUACCGACAUCUGUGAAGUCCCUUUUGCAAUGUGGGACAACCUGUUCAUAGGUUCCAUGGAAUAGGACCUGGACAUUUGGUUGGCGGGGUGGUCCUCUCUUCUGUUUAAAUCACCUGUACUCAAAAAAAAACAUAAGGCUUUGUGACAAAUUGUAUUUAAGAUGUUAUAAAUGCCAGUGUGUUCACUUUGUAAACAUUCAAUAUUGAAUGUUGUUAUGGCUUAUAAUAUCAUCAAUAUUUAUUGUAUUUUUUGUGAUGAACUGUAGGAAAAAAAUACUUUUUCCCUUCUUCAGUCAGUCAUUAGUCUCAUUUGUCUCAUUCUAGACUAAGGUUAGCACUCAAACAAAAACUAUUUAUUAGCUAAUGAGAAUAAUGAAAGCAGGCUAUUUUGUAUAUUAAUAGCUUUGCAUUAGGCAUAAUGAAUUUUAUUCCACAGGGCAAAAGGGAUUUCACAAAUGAAAAAACUAGGAACCAAUGUUCAACAUAUAUCCCAGAAAUUAGAUGGCUAGGAUUGGCUAUGUACAAGAAAACACACAUUUUAAUUAUCUCAUUUUCCCCUCCUAUUAUGUGACUUUCAUAAUAGAAACAUGGCAUAAUGGAGGUAGCCCAAGGCUUUGGAAUUAGACCAACCAGAGUUCAAAUUCUGGUUGUUCUACCUAUCAGAUAUUUUCAUUAAGGUAAUUUUUUAAAUGCUUCUCAGCUUUUGCAAAAUGGAUAUUAUAAUAUUCACCACACUGAGAUAUUAUAAAGAUUAAGUAAAAUAAUGUAUGAAGAUGACUUUACAUAAAUAAACUGUUAAUUUGCUUUGCUCUAUUGUCUUUGCUUUUAAAAUAGUUGUAUCUACUUAUAUAGAUUUGUCUUCAUGCUUAUAGCUGAAAUAGUUGAAAAUAUUUUAUUCUAUGAAUUGAAAAAAUAAAGACUACUGGCUUUUAUCUUUCACUAAAAUGUAAGUUUCUUGCAUUUUAGGAAAAUAAAUAUGGCACCAAAUUUGUCUGCAGGCACAGAGAUUACAUUCCUCGAAUGUUAAUAUCUACCUAUCUAUAUAUCCUAUUUGCCGUCAGGUUCUUUUGAGGGAUAAUGAUUUGUUUUAGAUUAUAUUCUCAAUAAGUGAUGAAAUUUAUAGACUCUCCUUCAUAGUCACUCAGCAAUGAAACAGAGCAAACAAUCAUUAAUAAAUGAUGGACGUUCUACGUAGGAUUCUGUGUUCUAGGUAUGUAUGCAAAAGAUGAUCUUACUCUUGAGAGCCACUAGAACUCUUUGAAGAAAAAAAAAUGCUAUUUGCUAUAGGGAAAUCUUUCUGGAAAAGUAAUAAUUUCACCUUUGAGUCAGCUUCCCUGGACUCUUGCCUCAUACAUCUUCAGCCAAGGUCAGUCCAUUAUGAAAAUCCACUCUCCCUUCCCCAUGAAAGAACAUUCGAGGCAUACUUAUUAUAUUAACUGAAUUGUUACAUAUGUAUUAAAAGUUUAUAGUAUGUGUUAGCAUUUAUUUAUUUUUUGUAAGAUGUCUUUCCAGGAAUAUAUAACCCUGGUUCAUAAUAUUGUGCCCUUUGUAUCCAAGAUUUGAUAUAUGUGAGUAAACAUACAACUGUCUAUCUGGGGGCAAGUAAAUCGAAAACCAAGAAUCAUCUCAAGUGUUGGAAAUCAUAUGGUAUAGAAUUCAUUACCAUUUGUGAACUGGAAUGGGCAGCAAGAUAUUUGAAUAAAAAUUAAACUAGUUCUAUAAUUGGUGAUUUGAAAUUUUUUGAAAAAGCCACGGCAGUGAAAUAGUUUGGAUGUCCCCUCAAAAUCUCAUGCUGAAUUGUAAUCCCCAGUGUUGGAGGUGGGGACUGGUGGGAGGUGUUUGGGUCACUAUAGUGCGUUUUCAUGAGAUCUGGUCAUUUAAAAUCUGUAGCACCUCCCUCCCCUUCUUGCUCCUGUUUUUUCCAUGUGAAGAUGCCUGCCCCAGCUUUGCCUUCCACCAUGAGUAAAAGCUUCCCAAGUCCUCCCCAGAAGCAGAUGCUGGCGCUAUGCUUCUGGUACAGCCUGAAAAACCUUGAGCCAAUUAAACCUCAGGUAAGUCUUUUAGCUAUCCAAAUCUGAUUCCAUAAGACUAUUUUUGUCGCAAGUAACUAUGGUGGCUAUCCUCAAAAGAUCUGUAAGAAAAGCAUUGCAUAGAAUCAGAGAAAAGGUUGAACAAUUUAAUAAAUUGGAAAGCCAAAUCCAACCUAGGAAUCUCAGCAACAGUUAUACAUGGAUGUUCCUUCUGCCUCCCAGAGAUGGCUGCCUGAUACCUGGCUCCAAAGGCUUGUUUUAAACAAAGGUCAUUAAUGAGUCUCCUGCUCAUGCCACAUAUCAUUCAUAUGUGGCAUGGUUGUAGAACUUCCUAAUCUUUACAAGAACCAAAGAAGCCUGGAAAUGCCCCAUUCAGAAAAAUAUGUUUGAGACUUUGCAAAGCUCCUUUCUCUAAUCCUUAUGAUUUCUUCUUUCACAGUGAGCUCAAGAUGUCUUUGUUGAAACAGAACCUCCCGAAGUUACAGUAUUGGUUUUGGGGCUCCACACAGAGAACACAUCACGGAAGCUAUAAUUGAGGAAGACAAAGCUGUCAGGACGACACCAAGAGAGUUAGAAAGCCCAAGAGUGGAGCAUUCUUCACCAUGAUUCCACCUGACACUUGGCUGAAAGCAUUUUGCACUAAUUUGCUUUGUGCCCGUUCAGACAAUCUAAAAAGAAAGGAUGGGGGGACAACAAGUGUCUAUUACACAGAAUAAACAGCCUCUGGCAAAUGAAUACAUUUUACACACUUGUGCUUUUGGAGGGAUGGGGUAGUGAUGAGGGGAAGGGGAAUGGAGGAGGAGAAGUCAAGGAUUAGAGGUCUCUUCAGCAUCUCAGGACUGCCUCUCUCUCUCUGUGGUCACAGGGGUAGGUUUGGUCCACAUGGCAGACAUGAAACUCAAGAUACAGCCCUGGCGUAUACGGGUUGGGAGGCCAGUGCUGCCUCUGGUGGUCCCCCCAGACCUGCAAUUCAUAUUUUGAAUGGGUUUAAAGCCUACUUGGCAAUUACUUUUAUCCUCUAAUGAAAUAGAUUUGAACCACUUUCCCUUGAUUAUAUUUUAAAUGUUUACCCCCAUAUAAAUAUAACUGCUCUGAGGUGGGAGGGGUUAAGCCUCUCCUAUGAAUCAAUUAAAGACAAAAAAAAAAAAAAGGCCUUGAGCUUUUCGUCCAGAUAGCAUGCAAGAAACACCAGGGUAAAGACAAAGGGAGCCAAAGAAUCCAUUCUAGCCUCUGUAAUUGGCUCCUAUGUUGAACUGUGAAGAGUUGGGACAAAAGCACAGGACAGAGAAGAUGGUCUAGCAAGAAAUACAUGGUCUUUUAAAAGUGAAACACAGCAUUUUUUGAGGGCAGCCAAGAUGGCCGAAUAGGAACAGCUCUGGUCUACAGCUCCCAGCGUGAGCGACGCAGAAGACGGGUGAUUUC
rnacentral:lncRNA from 1 species